CUCUGACAUGAAAACAUAAUGUGUUAUGUUUGAAACACGUCCACGGUGUUCAAAAUGUGUUCCUUCUUAUCCCGCCUUCUUUCUUUCAUAAGUCCUUUACUUUUAUUCCAGAAUGUGCAUGAAAAGCAUCUUCAGUGAAGUUCAAAUCUCCAGAACGUAUACUCGCAUGCGUCCUCAGGGCCACUCUGAGCUUUAAUGGGGUCCGCGCUUGGAUCUUUAAUUAAUGCACGCAGGGCGUGAAAUUGAUUUACAGAAGUGACAGAUCUCGGGGGGACUUAGAUUUGUUGCGAUGCUCCGUGGCGACUGCUCUCCCACUCCACUGGUUAUAUCCUCCUGGAUGGUUCUGCUUUAAUCAGAUAAACAGCCGUGGGCCUUGGAAAACUCGUCUUUGUGUAACACCGCCAAGAGUUUAAACCCCCGAGCCGUUCCGACUCCUCCAUCUGGGAACGAGGCUGAUCUUCAGCGCUUAACUCUGCAUCACAAGUUCACGGCAAUUGGUUUUUGCGUCUGCGUUCUCGAAGGCUGCCCUCAGAUGGCAUUGUUUGGAGUUCAUAUCCCGAGCUUUGCGAGCCCUGGCACCCUUCCUGGCUCGGCGGGUGGCGGUAACACAGCGUUGACUUGGAAACGACCCCUUUGGCAAGUGUUUGCAGGGCUUGCUAGCUUCCUUGUUUUUGGCCAGACAAUACACCACAGCCACAUUAAACACUUAUGGAAAACCGCAAGAGCACCAGGACUGGCUCGAGUCGACAAAUACGUCGCUCAGAAACUGCAGUGCUGUUUGCAUGUAGGGCUUCACGAUAUAUCGGAAAUAAAAUUUAUAUCGCGAUAUGGCUUAGUGUGGCUCGCACUGGACACGAUUAAAUAAAUAUAUGCACUACCAGUGAAGCUCAGCAUUUACAGUUCAUUUACUGUGAAUUGAGCUGUUCUGAGACACUGAUAUCAUGAGUGAAACCGGCAGCACGUAUUCUUAUUUACCAGCAACACGUCAAAAUAAAAGCUUGAUGGAUAUUAUAAUGUUGGGUAUUGUAAUUUUACAAUGAAAUAAAAGUAUUUUUAUUACUCA